UAGAAAGAAUAGGAGUAUCUGCCACAGUUAGUGACAACCUGGACAUUAAUUGGAUGAAUGUCAAUAUCCAAACUGUUUACAAGGAAUUGUAAAAAUGAUGGAGGUGGAGAUGAAGACGAACAAGGCUGGAUAUUCUUGUGUUGUGCUAAAGAUUGUGGAUAUUUUGACUGGAUUGAUGGGAAGAUCUGGAAGAAAAAUCCCUUGCCAUUUGAAGGAUAGUCUAGUGAUUCUUUUGAUGGAAUGCAAUCAAGCAACUUUGGGAUGUCUCAAAAUCAAGUUAAGCACCAAUUGACGACCUGUUGAUAAGUGUUACCGAAUUAAAGAUAGAAAGAGAGGACGUGGAGAUAUCAUUCAACAUAACUAUCUGGAAGGGAAAAGAGGAAUCGGAAGAUAACGUGAAGGAAAAGUGUAGGUAGUAGAAUUGAUUUUUAUGUUUAUGUGUCUUAUGUAGUUGUGGC
rnacentral:lncRNA from 1 species